UACAGAGGGUGCUAGCGUUGUUCGGAAUCAUUGGGCGUAAAGGGCGUGUAGGCGGUUUGUUAAGUCAUGUGUGAAAUCCCUCGGCUCAACCGGGGAACGACGCAUGAAACUGGCAAGCUAGAGUACCAAAGAGGGGGGUGGAAUUCCCGGUGUAGCGGUGAAAUGCGUAGAUAUCGAGAGGAACACCUGAGGUGAAGACGGGUUGCUGGGCCGACACUGACGCUGAAGCGCGAAAGCCAGGGGAGCAAACGGG
rnacentral:rRNA from 1 species